GUUGUAAAGUACUUUCAGCGAGGAGGAACGGCAUUAAGGUUAAUAACCUUGGUGAUUGACGUUACUCGCAGAAGAAGCACCCGGCUAACUCCGUGCCAGCACGCCGCGGUAAUACGGAGUGGUGCACAGCGUUAAUCGGAAUUACUGGGCGUAAAGCGCACGCAGGCGGUCUGUUAAGUCAGAUGUGAAAUCCCCGGGCUCAACCUGGGAACUGCAUUUGAAACUGGCAGGCUUGAGUCUUGUAGAGGGGGGUCAGCAAUUCCA
rnacentral:rRNA from 1 species